UACGUAGGCAGCGAGCGUUGUUCGGAGUUACUGGGCGUAAAGAGUGCGUAGGCGGUUUUCUAAGUUUGGUGUGAAAUCUCCCGGCUUAACUGGGAGGGUGCGCCGAAAACUGGAAGGCUUGAGUAUGGGAGAGGUAAGCGGAAUUCCUGGUGUAGCGGUGAAAUGCGUAGAUAUUGGGAGGAACACCAGCGGCGAAGGCGGCGCUCUGGGCCGGAACUGACGCUGAGGAGCGAAAGCGUGGGUAGCAAACAGG
rnacentral:rRNA from 1 species